rnacentral:lncRNA from 1 species
AUCUAAUUUGACACCAUAAUAAAUCUUCCUUAAGAUUAAUGGCCGCGAUCUCAGCUGUUGUCUUAUGUGUCUCAUUGCAGACGAGACACAGUUCACGUGUGCAUUGAAACGAAUGCCCUGCUGUGUGUGCACCUCCAUAUAUCAAACCAGUGCCCUAGGUUUCUGUUACACGUUGAGAGGCAGUGAAACAAAUGGAAGAUGCGUUCCUUCCCCCUUCAAAGACACUUGUAACCCAGCUCAAAAAAAUAAAACCAAUCUGUAUUACCUGCUAGAUAAAAAGAAGAGGACCCUAAGUUCAGACACAUAAAAUCUAAUUUUGUAUUACUUUCUUAAGGAAACGAGGAAGCUGUGAUCAUUUGCCCUGUCAGAGUAGGGAGAAAGGCAUUGUCUCUACUCAAACAAAAUAACAGUCGAAGUACAGUGAGGCAUCCAAAGACACAGAGCAUACCACGUUUAAUAGACUGCAUGGAAAUCCGGCCAUGAGGGGUGGCUCUGGAGAUAUUUGCCUCCUCAGUAAACGAUGCUCCCUUCUCCAUCUGCAAACACAGCUCCGUUACGUGUAUCACCUUCACUGGCAAGGGACACACUCUUGUCUGGAUUGGCUAAUGAAAGGUAUGUGACAAUUUAGUCAUUGCUAAGGUAUAUAAUUCACAGACUCUUAACCUAAGGAAAAUAAUAUUAGGACAGAAUGUCUGCUGAAAAAAGAAAAUCUCCUAAAUGCAUAUCCAAGCUUAAAAUAAAUAAUUUAGGGAUUUUCUGCUGUUUAGGAUU